rnacentral:rRNA from 1 species
GAUGAACGCUGGCGGCGUGCUUAACACAUGCAAGUCGAACGGAAAGGCCCAAGCUUGCUUGGGUACUCGAGUGGCGAACGGGUGAGUAACACGUGGGUGAUCUGCCCUGCACUUCGGGAUAAGCCUGGGAAACUGGGUCUAAUACCGGAUAGGACCACUUCUUGGAUGUUGUGGUGGAAAGUUUUUUCGGUGUGGGAUGAGCCCGCGGCCUAUCAGCUUGUUGGUGGGGUAAUGGCCUACCAAGGCGUCGACGGGUAGCCGGCCUGAGAGGGUGUACGGCCACAUUGGGACUGAGAUACGGCCCAGACUCCUACGGGAGGCAGCAGUGGGGAAUAUUGCACAAUGGGCGCAAGCCUGAUGCAGCGACGCCGCGUGGGGGAUGACGGCCUUCGGGUUGUAAACUCCUUUCGCUAGGGACGAAGCGUUUUGUGACGGUACCUGGAGAAGAAGCACCGGCUAACUACGUG